rnacentral:rRNA from 1 species
UGGGGAAUAUUGCGCAAUGGGGGCAACCCUGACGCAGCAACGCCGCGUGAUUGAAGAAGGCCUUCGGGUUGUAAAGAUCUUUAAUCAGGGACGAAAAAUGACGGUACCUGAAGAAUAAGCUCCGGCUAACUACGUGCCAGCAGCCGCGGUAAUACGUAGGGAGCAAGCGUUAUCCGGAUUUACUGGGUGUAAAGGGCGCGCAGGCGGGCCGGCAAGUUGGGAGUGAAAUCCGGGGGCUUAACCCCCGAACUGCUUUCAAAACUGCUGGUCUUGAGUGAUGGAGAGGCAGGCGGAAUUCCGUGUGUAGCGGUGAAAUGCGUAGAUAUACGGAGGAACACCAGUGGCGAAGGCGGCCUGCUGGACAUUAACUGACGCUGAGGCGCGAAAGCGUGGGGAGCAAACA